CGAUUAAGCUAGGGGUGCCUGAGUCCCAACCAGGCUGAGAUUACACCCUGAGAACCUGAGUCCGGCUAGUACCGGCGGAGGGAAGCUUGUAAUCGAGAGG
rnacentral:ncRNA from 2 species